GUUAGAACCGAUUUUAAUAUAUGAGUUAAACCCACAGGUGUCGCGCAAGUUCCAAAAUACAGACAUGUCCCGUUUUUAUCAUGCGAAAAGUGUAAAUUUGCAAAAAUGCACUAUGUAUGUAUGCAAUCUUCUAUAAAUACGGCUGCAUUACACCAUGCAGUUCUCUUUGUCUGGUGAUUCACGAACGGUUUUGAAGUGCGCGCGUGUGUAGCUUUGUCCAAUGUAAAAGUAAAAAUUGUAAAACUCUCUAGUGGUGAAAUUGUUUUAACUUAAGUGUUUUGUUUCUUUAUUAGGUGGAAUAAGUAUUGUUAGUAGAAACGUAAAACCAGAAAUUAAUUUGGAAAAUGUAUUAGUCAUUGUUCACUACUGUAAAAAACUUUUUUGUUAGAUGUUGAAAACGACACUAUAAAAUUGUGAAACCAACUGUAAAAACGGAAAACAAUCAGAAAAAGGUAAAAAUUAUUGUAAAACUGUGAAAGGUUAUUAGAAAUGCGGUUUUGUGGCGUCACAGGGGUCUAAUGUGUGGUUAGGCCCAAGAAUAGGGCCUUUUUCUUCUAUUUACGGAGAAUUUCUCCAACAGAACAUGAAGACGAUAUGGCGCACAUCAACCAACUCCCGAUAAAGAAUCCCAGCCAGCGGCGCUUUCGCUAGCUGUACCCCCCCCCCCCUAUAUUGGACCACCGUUAUACCGGAGAAAUGUCGUUGGCAAUCUCGUCAAUGAUCGCCAAGCUCGACUGCCGCGCUUGGUGGCCAAAUACAACGUUCGAGGCCGCCAUCUUGUUCUGCAUGGCUGGCUCCGGUUCUAUUGUCCGGUCUUAUGGCUACAGGAAUCCUUCAUUCAACAGCAACACCAGUUCUCGAAAGCUAUCAUCCGCCCCAGGCGGCCGCCUUCGUCAUGGCAGGCCCGCCGUAAUCAUCCACCGAAUUACCCCGAAGAUGUUCGGCCUACACCGCUGAAGUCAACCAGAGGUUCCCGACCCCCAAGCAGCCACCCACAAUAUCCAAAACCGCAAGUAUACACCCCUUAUAGUGACGUCACCACAAUAAACAGAAAUAUUGUGAAUUUUAAGCCGCAGUGGUUGCUUAUUUAAGUAGCAUAGCCCUGGGUUGAAUCAGUUCCACCACUUUUGUGUAAUUUUCCGCUUUGUCGGGCUCUAGAUGAGCCAUCAGGCCUCGCCUUCCUUGAAUCCCCAGAAUUUCAUUACGUUUUAUACUUUCCGUAUCAACGAUCAUUUUUCUGUAUCGGUUUGUGAAACACUGGCGGGUUAUUACAGUAAUUAAUACCGGUCCUGCUGGUAUGUUCGUCUUCAGCUGGAGAUGUGAGAGCCAAGUCACGUUUGAACGACCCUGUGAUCCACAAUCCCUGAGCCACCGAGUAACAAA